GGCCCCCAAACCGUGCACCCCCACAGGCCGCCGCCGCGGCUACUUACUUUCAUUUAACACCUCCACCAGGUCUGCGCAGUUCUCGCACAUCGUUCGGCCGCCGCCCCCCCCCUCCCCCGCUUCGGAUCGCAGUGACUGAUCCCGACCGGCGGGGGGGAGGGGAGAGAGGCGGAGGAGGGGGCCGGCCGGCCGGCGGGGCGGGGAGGCGACGAGGGCGGGCGGCGGCGGGGACGGGGCGGAGAGCAGGAGUAUGGGGGAGGGGGCCGGCGGUCCCCGGAGCGGGCGGGGGAGAGGAGGGGGGCGAGGGGAGGUGCGCAGGCCGGAGGGGCGCGGAGGCGCCGGCGGCGGGGAAGGGGGGGAAGGACGGGGGGGAGGGGAGAGGGAGGGAGGGGGCGGGUGGGGAGAGAAGCAGCAGAGUCACUUCACCGACCAGACGCCGCGGCCACCGCUGACGCCGCCGCCAUUUUAAUAGAGCGUUCGGGCUGCGCUCGGCUCUUUCCGCCCGAGCGAAGGAGCCGACGAGAAAAGCCUCGCGCUCUCAUUCCUCCGCCUCCUUCCCUCGCUUCGCCUCCCGCCCUCCCACCUCUCCCUCCGCACACACGCCGCACGCUCCACACCCCGCCGCGGCCGGCUCGCCGCCCUCCCUUUCCUCUUCCGUCUGGCCUCCCCGCCCUCGGUCCACCCCCUCGGCGCGUUCGCCCACCCCGCCCAGCCCGGAUCUCUGUCAGCGGCCGGAAGGGAAACACGAAGCCAGGGCGGCCGCGGGGGGAGUCCGAAUGAUGAAUUGAAAUGAAAUGAAAUGUUGGAGAGAUGCAACAUUCCUGACUUUGAAGAUGAAGGGAAGUGGGCCUUGAGUCAAGAAAUGUGGGUGGUCUCCAGAAGAUGGAAAAGACAAGGAAACAAUCUCCCUUUCAGCCUCCAGAAAAGAACCCAGCCAGCCCUGCUGACAUCUUGAUUUAGCCCAAUGAAACCCAUGUUGGACUACUGACUUACAAAACUGUAAAACGAUGUUUGUUAAAUUUAGUUUUAAGCCAUAAAUUUGUGGUAAUUUGUUUCAGCAGCAAUAGAAAACUAAUAGAAGUGAUGUGCAGAUCUAGAGAAUAGCAUAUGCAAAACUCCUGAUACAAAAUUCCUUGCUUCUUUCUAGGAACAGAAAUAAAGCCAGUAUGACUAGAACAUAGUUGGGAGAGAAGGCCCAUGCCAGACUUAACAGAGCACUGCAAACAUUGUUAAGAUUUUGGCCUAGAUCCUAAAAGCAAUACAAAGCAUUUAAGUGUGUAAGCAACACAAUCAGGUUUUUAUUAAAAUAUUCAGACUAGAGGUGCGUGGGUGGGUCAAUUGGUUAAGCAUCUGACUUCAGCUCAGGUCAUGAUCUCGAAGUUGGUGAGUUUGAGCCCCACUGUCAGCGCAGAGCCCACUUCGGAUCCUCUGUCUCCCUCCAUCUCUGCCUCGCCCCCACCCCCCCCCUCAUGCUGUGGUUCUCUCUCUGUCAAAAAUAAACAAACAGGGGCGCCUGGGUGGCUUGGUUGGUUAGGCGUCCGACUUCAGCUCAGGUCAUGAUCUCACAGUCCGUGAGUUUGAGCCCCGCGUCGGGCUCUGGGCUGACAGCUCAGACCCUGGAGCCUGUUUCAGAUUCUGUGUCUCCCUCUCUCUCUGCCCCUCCCCUGUUCAUGCUCUGUCUCUCUCUGUCUCAAAAAUAAAUAAACGUUAAAAAAAUUUUUUUUUAAAUAAAUAAACAUUUAAAAAAUAAAGAUAUAAAAUAAAAUAUUCAGACUAAUGGGGCACCUGGGUGCCCCGGUCAGUUAAGCAUCUGACUCUUGAUCUCAGCUCAGGUCUUGACCUCAGGGUCAUGAGUUCAAGCUUUGUGCUGGACUCUGCACUGGGCAUGAAGCCUAUUUAAAAAAAAAAAUCGUUUAAAAUAUUCAGAUUAAUAUGUAGAGAGUAGAUUAAAGAUAGGGACAACUGGGGGUUAUUAAUAUUAAUCCAGAAAGAUGAUGAUAAGCUUGGACUAGGAUAACAAAGAAAUGGAGAAAAGGGAGUCCAUUCUAAGAACAUUUUAGAGGUGAAAAGAACAAGACUUGAUUGAUGGGUAUGGGGAGAGAAAGUAUCAGAGCUAUCUCCAAAUAAGAGAUUUGCCCAACUGGGUAAAUGAUGCUGCCAUUCACCACAUUGGGGAUCACUUAAAGGAGGACCAGAGGGAGAUGGGAUCAAUAAUGACAAGUACUAUUUUGGAAGCACUCAGUUUGAGGUGCCUGUGAGGUAACUAGGAGUUGUUGACCAGGCAGUUGUUUGAAUCUAAAGCUCAAAAUAAAACUCAGGACUGCAAAUAUAAAAUCAAUCCUUAGUAUGGUAGCUCUUUAUGGGGAAAGAUAACUGCUAUACCUCUAGCAUUAUAAGUUCUAGGCAUGAAGAACAACCAAAGAACCAGUUCCCUCAGCUGUCCCCUCUUAUCAGGAAAGCAAAAACUUUCCAGAAGCCCCUCUGGCUAACUUUACUUUCUCAUUACCUAGAACUCUGUCACAUGGCCACCCUUAGAGCUCAAGGAAAGCUUGAGCUCUAUAUGUGUGUAUAUAUAUAUAUAUAUAUAUAUAUAUACAUAUAUAUAUACACACGUACAUAUAUUACUUGAUAUACAUACGUAUAUAUAUACACACAUACAUAUAUACACUUGAGCUCUAUGUAUGUGUGUGUGUGUAUAUAUAUACACACACACAUAUAUAUAUAUAAAUGUAUAAAAUAUAUAUAUUUUGUAUGUUAACAUAAUUGACAAAGUCAUUCCUCACUGCCAACUAAGCCAAAUCAAACCAAUAAAAUGUCUGGCUUCAUUCUUCAAAUUAAUAAAUACAUAUUUUAUAAUGUAUAUUUUAUAGAUUUGGAUAUUUUGAGGAAUAUUAAAGACACCAAAAAAUACAUUUUGGAACAUCUUACAGGUUAGAUAACUAAAGUAAUAAAGUAAAAUAAUUAAAAUUUUUAAAGCUAUACAAUAAAAUACUGUUUCUAUUAUUUGUGUUUUUUUAAAUGUUUAUAUUUUAUUUAUUUAU
ensembl:lncRNA